GUCCAACAUCUUCUUCGGAGACAGAAACUACUGACAGUGACACUUCUACCUCUGAGUCUGAGGCUCAAGAAGACUCAGAGGAUUCAGGAAGAAAACACCCCAGCAAAAAGGGGAAAAAAAUGGACUCCAGAAAAAGAAAGCAGAGGCAAGAGGAGUCAGAUUCUGAUUCAGAAUCUGAAUUUGAACCAAGUGAUGAGAGUGAAGAAUCAUCACCUGCGGAGAAGGAGAAGAAAAAGAAAAAAACAAAAACAAC